rnacentral:tRNA from 1 species
AGAUAAGUAGGUUAUUUUGUGUGAAACCUUUAAGCUUAUUACUUAAGAAUACUUUAUUUUAGUCUUAUCUA